rnacentral:rRNA from 1 species
CUUGCAGGGUACUCGAGUGGCGAACGGGUGAGUAACACGUGGGUGAUCUGCCCUGUACUUCGGGAUAAGCUUGGGAAACUGGGUCUAAUACCGGAUAGGAACCAUCUUUAGUGUGGUGGUUGGAAAGUUUUUUCGGUGUAGGAUGAGCUCGCGGCCUAUCAGCUUGUUGGUGGGGUAAUGGCCUACCAAGGCGGCGACGGGUAGCCGGCCUGAGAGGGUGUACGGCCACAUUGGGACUGAGAUACGGCCCAG